rnacentral:rRNA from 1 species
AGGCAGAUGGCGGGGUAACGGCCCACCAUACCGAUAACCUGUAGGGGGUGUGAGAGCACAGGCCCCGAGAAGGGCACUGAGACAAGGGCCCUAGCGCUACGGCGUGCAGCAGGCGCGCAAACUCCACAAUGCGCGUAAGCGUGAUGGGGGGAAUCUGAGUGGUUCACUUCGGUGAACCUUUUGCCAAUUAUAGCAAGAUUGGCGAAUAAGUGCUGGGCAAGACCGGUGGCAGCCGCCACGGUAAUACCGGCAGCACAAGUGGUGUCCACGAUUAUUGGGCUUAAAGCGCUCGUAGCUGGCCGAUACCGUCUCAUGUGAAAUAUUGGCGCUCAACGUCAAUGCGA